CCUACGGGAGGCAGCAGUGGGGAAUAUUGCACAAUGGGGGAAACCCUGAUGCAGCCAUGCCGCGUGUGUGAAGAAGGCCUUCGGGUUGUAAAGCACUUUCAGUUGUGAGGAAAAGUUAGUAGUUAAUACCUGCUAGCCGUGACGUUAACAACAGAAGAAGCACCGGCUAACUCCGUGCCAGCAGCCGCGGUAAUACGGAGGGUGUGAGCGUUAAUCGGAAUUACUGGGCGUAAAGCGCACGCAGGCGGUUUGUUAAGCUAGAUGUGAAAGCCCCGGGCUCAACCUGGGAUGGUCAUUUAGAACUGGCAGACUAGAGUCUUGGAGAGGGGAGUGGAAUUCCAGGUGUAGCGGUGAAAUGCGUAGAUAUCUGGAGGAACAUCAGUAGCGAAGGCGACUCCCUGGCCAAAGACUGACGCUCAUGUGCGAAAGUGUGGGUAGCGAACAGGAUUAGAUACCCUGGUAGUCCACACCGUAAACGCUGUCUACUAGCUGUGUGUGCCUUUAAGGCGUGCGUAGCGAAGCUAACGCGCUAAGUAGACCGCCUGGGGAGUACGGCCGCAAGGUUAAAACUCAAAUGAAUUGACGGA
rnacentral:rRNA from 1 species